rnacentral:rRNA from 1 species
AUGUUUAAGUUGUAUAUAACUGUGUAUUUUUCUAGUCCUAUAUUCUUCCAGUCCUAUGCGUGUGUAUAUAUUGGCCUUUGUCCUUAUAGAAAUCCAGGUUACAUAUUUCCUCGCAUGGUAUUAGAGCCAAUUGAAGAGAAGCUUGUCCAACAUCGUCUGAGAUGGUUUGGGCAUAUCCAGCGCAGGCCUCCAGAAGCUCCAGUGCAUAGCGGACGGCUAAAGCGUGCGGAGAAUGUCAAGAGAGGGCGGGGUAGACCGAAUUUGACAUGGGAGGAGUCCGUUAAGAGAGACCUGAAGGAUUGGAGUAUCACCAAUGAGCUAGCUAUGGACAGGGGUGCAUGGAAGCUUGCUAUCCAUGUGCCAGAGCCAUGA